AGUCUUAUAGCUCAGUUGGUUAGAGCGCACGCUUCACACGCGUGAGGUCGUGGGUUCGACCCCCACUAAGGCUA